rnacentral:rRNA from 1 species
AGUGAACGCUGGCGGUAGGCCUAACACAUGCAAGUCGAACGGCGGCACAGUAAGAGCUUGCUCUUACGGGUGGCGAGUGGCGGACGGGUGAGGAAUACAUCGGAAUCUACUUUUUCGUGGGGGAUAACGUAGGGAAACUUACGCUAAUACCGCAUACGACCUACGGGUGAAAGCAGGGGAUCUUCGGACCUUGCGCGAUUGAAUGAGCCAAUGUCGGAUUAGCUAGUUGGCGGGGUAAAGGCCCACCAAGGCGACGAUCCGUAGCUGGUCUGAGAGGAUGAUCAGCCACACUGGAACUGAGACACGGUCCAGACUCCUACGGGAGGCAGCAGUGGGGAAUAUUGGACAAUGGGCGCAAGCCUGAUCCAGCCAUACCGCGUGGGUGAAGAAGGCCUUCGGGUUGUAAAGCCCUUUUGUUGGGAAAGAAAAGCAGCAGGUUAAUACCCCGCUGUUCUGACGGUACCCAAAGAAUAAGCACCGGCUAACUUCGUG